rnacentral:rRNA from 1 species
CUCCUGGAAACGGGUGGUAAUGCCGGAUGUUCCAGUUGAUCGCAUGGUCUUCUGGGAAAGCUUUCGCGGUAUGGGAUGGGGUCGCGUCCUAUCAGCUUGACGGCGGGGUAACGGCCCACCGUGGCUUCGACGGGUAGCCGGCCUGAGAGGGCGACCGGCCACAUUGGGACUGAGAUACGGCCCAGGCUCCUACGGGAGGCAGCAGUGGGGAAUAUUGCACAAUGGGCGCAAGCCUGAUGCAGCGACGCCGCGUGAGGGAUGGAGGCCUUCGGGUUGUAAACCUCUUUUAUCGGGGAGCAAGCGUGAGUGAGUUUACCCGUUGAAUAAGCACCGGCUAACUACGUGCCAGCAGCCGCGGUAAUACGUAGGGUGCAAGUGUUAUCCGGAAUUAUUGGGCGUAAAGGGCUCGUAGGCGGUUCGUCGCGUCCGGUGUGGAAGUCCAUCGCUUAACGGUGGAUCCGCGCCGGGUACGGGCGGGCUUGAGUGCGGUAGGGGAGACUGGAAUUCCCGGUGUAACGGUGGAAUGUGUAGAUAUCGGGAAGAACACC